AUGAGGCUCCCUGCUCAGCUCUUGGGGCUGCUAAUGCUCUGGGUCCCUGGAUCCAGUGCAGAGAUUGUGAUGACCCAGACUCCACUCUCCUUGUCUAUCACCCCUGGAGAGCAGGCCUCCAUGUCCUGCAGGUCUAGUCAGAGCCUCCUGCAUAGUGAUGGAUACACCUAUUUGUAUUGGUUUCUGCAGAAAGCCAGGCCAGUCUCCACAGCUCCUGAUCUAUGAAGUUUCCAACCGGUUCUCUGGAGUGCCAGAUAGGUUCAGUGGCAGCGGGUCAGGGACAGAUUUCACACUGAAAAUCAGCCGGGUGGAGGCUGAGGAUGUUGGAGUUUAUUACUGCAUG
rnacentral:lncRNA from 1 species